rnacentral:rRNA from 1 species
AUUAAGAGCUUGCUCUUAUGAUUAGUGGCGCACGGGUGCGUAACGCGUGGGAAUCUGCCCUUAGGUACGGAAUAACUCAGAGAAAUUUGUGCUAAUACCGUAUGAUGUCGAAAGACCAAAGAUUUAUCGCCUAAGGAUGAGCCUGCGUUAGAUUAGCUUGUUGGUGGGGUAAAGGCCUACCAAGGCGACGAUCUAUAGCUGUUCUGAGAGGAAGAUCAGCCACACUGGGACUGAGACACGGCCCAGACUCC